rnacentral:rRNA from 1 species
AGUCGAACGGCAGCACGGACUUCGGUCUGGUGGCGAGUGGCGAACGGGGUGAGUAAUGUAUCGGAACGUGCCUAGUAGCGGGGGAUAACUACGCGAAAGGUGUAGCCAAUACCGCAUACGCCCUUCGGGGGAAAGCGGGGGACCUUCGCCUCGCACUAUUAGAGCGGCCGAUAUCGGAUUAGCUAGUUGGUGGGGUAACGGCUCACUAAGGCGACGAUCCGUAGCUGGUUUGAGAGGACGACCAGCCACACUGGGACUGAGACACGGCCCAGACUCCCUACGGGAGGCAGCAGUGGGGAAUUUUGGACAAUGGGAAACUCUGAUCCAGCCAUCUCAUGUGUGCGAUGAAGGCCUUGAAGCAAAGCACUUUUGGCAGGAAAGAAACGGCACGGGAUAAUACCCCGUGCAACUGACGGUACCUGCAGAAUAAGCACCGGCUAACUACGUGCCAGCAGCCGCGGUAAUACGUAGGGUGCAAGCGUUAAUCGGAAUUACUGGGCGUAAAGCGUGCAGGCGGUUCGGAAAGAAAGAUGUGAAAUCCCAGAGCUUAACUUUGGAACUGCAUUUUUAACUACUGAGCUAGAGUGUGUCAGAGGGAGGUGGAAUUCGCGUGUAGCAGUGAAAUGCGUAGAUAUGCGGAGGAACACCGAUGGCGAAGGCAGCCUCCUUCGGGAUAACACUGAUGUGCCUGCGUAUCAAAAAGUGGGGAGCAAACAGGAUUAGAUACCCUGGUAGUCCACGCCCCAAACGAUGUCAACUAGCUGUUGGGGCUUCGGGCUCCUGGUAGCGCAGCUAACGCGUGAAGUUGACCGCCUGGGGAGUACGGUCGCAAGAUUAAAACUCAAAGGAAUUGACGGGACCCGCACAAGCGGUGGAUGAUGUGGAUUAAUUCGAUGCAACGCGAAAAACCUUACCUACCCUUGACAUGUCUGGAAUCCCGGGAAGAGAUUUGGGAGUGCUCGCAAGAGAACCGGAACACAGGUGCUGCAUGGCUGUCGUCAGCUCGUGUCGUGAGAUGUUGGGUUAAGUCCCGCAACGAGCGCAACCCUUGUCAUUAGUUGCUACGAAAGGGCACUCUGACGAGACUGCCGGUGACAAACCGGAGGAAGGUGGGAUGACGUCGUUUCUCCUAUGGCCUUAAGGGUAGGGCUUCACACGUUAUAAGCAAUGGCCUGGGACAGAGGGUCGCCAACCCGCGAGGGGGAGCUAAUCCCAGAAACCCGAUCAGUCCGGAUCGCAGCCCGUAAAUUUCCGACUGCGUGAAGUCGGAAUCGCUAGUAACGUGCGGAUCAGUGAUGUCGCGGUGAAUACGUUCCUGGUCUUGUACACACCGCCCGUCACACCAUGGGAGUGGGUUUUACCAGAAAGUAGUUAGCUCAACCGUAAGUGAGGGCGAUUACCACGGUGAGAUUCAUGACUGGGGUGAAGUCGUAACAAGGUAG